ACAACAGACGGAAACGACUGCUAAUACCGAAUAAGUUCCAAGAGCCGCAUGGCCCAUGGAAGAAAAGGUGGCCUCUACCUGUAAGCUAUCGCCUGAAGAGGGGUUUGCGUCUGAUUAGCUGGUUGGAGGGGUAACGGCCCACCAAGGCGAUGAUCAGUAGCCGGUCUGAGAGGAUGAACGGCCACACUGGAACUGAGACACGGUCCAGACUCCUACGGGAGGCAGCAGUGGGGAAUCUUCCGCAAUGGGCGAAAGCCUGACGGAGCAACGCCGCGUGAGUGAUGACGGCCUUCGGGUUGUAAAACUCUGUGAUCCGGGACGAAAAGGCAGAGUGCGAAGAACAAACUGCAUUGACGGUACCGGAAAAGCAAGCCACGGCUAACUACGUGCCAGCAGCCGCGGUAAUACGUAGGUGGCAAGCGUUGUCCGGAAUUAUUGGGCGUAAAGCGCGCGCAGGCGGCUUCCCAAGUCCCUCUUAAAAGUGCGGGGCUUAACCCCGUGAUGGGAAGGAAACUGGGAAGCUGGAGUAUCGGAGAGGAAAGUGGAAUUCCUAGUGUAGCGGUGAAAUGCGUAGAGAUUAGGAAGAACACCGGUGGCGAAGGCGACUUUCUGGACGAAAACUGACGCUGAGGCGCGAAAGCGUGGGGAGCAAACAGGAUUAGAUACCCUGGUAGUCCACGCCGU
rnacentral:rRNA from 1 species